rnacentral:rRNA from 1 species
UACGGAGGGUGCAAGCGUUAUCCGGAAUCACUGGGUUUAAAGGGUGCGUAGGCGGUCUAAUAAGUCAGUCGUGAAAUCGCUGGGCUCAACCCAUGCAAUUGCGAUUGAUACUGUUAGACUUGAAUGGGGUUGAGGCUGGCGGAAUGCGACAUGUAGCGGUGAAAUGCUUAGAUAUGACAUAGAACACCCAUUGCGAAGGCAGCUUACUACGGAGACAUUGACACUGAGGCUCGAAAGCGUGGGGAUCAAACAGGAUUAGAUACCCCGGUAGU